GGCCGAAAGGCGUAGUCGAUGGGAAACAGGUUAAUAUUCCUGUACUUGGUGUUACUGCGAAGGGGGGACGGAGAAGGCUAUGUUGGCCGGGCGACGGUUGUCCCGGUUUAAGCGUGUAGGCUGGUUUUCCAGGCAAAUCCGGAAAAUCAAGGCUGAGGCGUGAUGACGAGGCACUACGGUGCUGAAGCAACAAAUGCCCUGCUUCCAGGAAAAGCCUCUAAGCAUCAGGUAACAUCAAAUCGUACCCCAAACCGACACAGGUGGUCAGGUAGAGAAUACCAAGGCGCUUGAGAGAACUCGGGUGAAGGAACUAGGCAAAAUGGUGCCGUAACUUCGGGAGAA
rnacentral:rRNA from 1 species